AUUCCAAUGUGCACGUGUGCAUAAAUCUAUGUGUACUCUUGCGCGCGCGUCCACGAGUAAGUAAAAGAGCGGAAUGCACACUGGCUAUUGGCAUCGUGCGUAUUGCGCAAACAGUGGGUCUUAAUAGACGCCUGUGCACGAGCAUCUUGCUAUGAUAAAACGGGCAUGCAUUCGCAUUGCGUCAUGUGAAAAGUAACAACUGCUAGACGGCCUUGGGUACAGCACAUUGUGAUAAUGCACUUAUUGAAAAUAAAGAAGCCAGAUAUACAAGCUUUGACAGUUGAAGAAUAUUUCUCCUGAAAGCUAACGAGGAAAUCGAGUAACAUAUGCGCCACUUUCCUGGUAAGAUAAACAUGGAAGAAUGUUUAAUCUACGUGCCGUUAUUUUUGCAGAUUGAAGUAUCCGCAGGCUUAUUGGAGUGCAGAGCACAACGAUAAUAUCGACAAAAGUGUCAUGGAUACUAAACUAAUAACCUAACCUAGACAAACUUGUCUAGCUAUCUAACAUCGAAAAUCGAUCUCGUUGUAUAAGGUUAUAGAUAUAAUUAUAUUUGACACUUAAAAUAUAUUUAAAGGAGGCUAUGCAUUUGUAGGAAGGUACAAAGAUCUAUAGAAUGCGCCUAAUAAGCAAUAGCAUAUGAAAUAUCCAAAGAAUUGUACUCGUUAUAAUUAGACUCUGGAUGUUUAUGCAAAAAAUGCGUACAAUAUAAAAAAAUAUAUGAAAUAUUAAAAACAUAGCACUUGUUAUAAUAUUUAGCAUGUGAAACGAAUUUCUACAUAGGUCCCAUUUUCCCACUUGUGCUGAUAAAAAUAUAAAUUUGCACAAGCAUUCGCAGUCCAAUUAUAAUUAUAUAUAGGAUCUCAGUUGCAUUCAUAACAAUAUGGAUUUGCGUAAACAUUCGCGGUUUACUAAUCGUUAUUAUAAAAUAGAUUUAAUAAUUACGUAAAUAGUACACAGUAUACAACGUUUGUUUUCUUGUAUUGUAAUCAUACAAGUGCAUAACAAAUAUAUUGUGCAACCAGGUUGAUCUUGUAGAAUGAAGUUGUAGCGGUGUUUCAACAUCGACUUAUGACUUCAUUGAUUCCUCCGACACGUUCGACGGAACGUUAUGAACGACGAUCCCGAAGAAACGCUCGUGGGCCAACAAACAGCUCGACUACGUUAUUAUACUUAAUCGCGGUGUGCGCCCGAAGCGCGACGUUCUCGCGAUUGCUGGAAUGCCGUCCGAUCACUUGUACCCGGUCUAUCAAGGCCGUUGGGAAAUGAAAAUCGUUUCUUUCUGGUCGACUUAUGGAAUCCAAAACAUGUGGGACAUUAAGAAUUUACGUGGACGGGGGAAAAGGCAUCGAUGAGGAUGAUCAGUAAUUCCUGGGUAGAGAGAUUCUAUGACUUGAAAUAAGAGGAAAAUCAAGAAUAACACAAUUACGCUAGUUUUGUUUCUGAGAAAAUCGAUGACUCCACUUGUACCAUGAAUACAAUACCUGAAGCAGGGUGACCAUCCUGUAUAUGGUUGGAAAAUAGUUGGAAAAAUGGUGUGAAAAAUACCGUAAGUGGGAGGAACUAGGACAAAGGUACAGAUUUUGAGUGAUUAAAUUUAUGGUUUAUUAUGGUGAUUCGUCGUAGUGAAUUACCGCUUAUAUAAAUAUAGAAAUGAGUGUCGCUGUUGAUGACAUACUGAUGAUAUCAUUGCAGAUUGUCUCAACAAACUGGCAAUACUUCUUAGUAUAAUUAUAAUUUAUACUGUUUAUGGAAGUUACAAAAUGAGAAUUUCGAUACAAAGGAUAAAAUAUCACGGCUGUCUUUGCUAAUGCGAAGGUCUUUAAAGGAGAGAUUAAGUAAAAGAGCUAAAUGGUACCAGAAGACGAUUUACCUUCAUGACCACUCUCAUUUACAUACGGAAGUUAUCUAUUUCUCUAAGCGCGAGCAUCGAACCAUUACGUUCCAUUUAAUUAACAAUGUGGCAGACAAGCUUCCACCUCGAAGCGCCUCGUAGAUCGAUGUUAACCACACGUUAGAAUCAAUCAUCGUGCGUUCACCGGUGAAACGAUUAGCUUACGAUGAGUAAACAAAUGUUUGAACGAUGCGCAUUACACGGCAGAGCAAAUACGCUGCUUCCUGUCGCGUAAUUUGUAGUCGUGACGCUCGCUUCGUAUAUGUAACGAUCGACGCGGUCACACGAUAAUAACAGAUUCAAGAAUAUUUGCAUAAUACCUACCAGAGUAGACGUUAACCACUUCGUUGUACCUUUUAUCAAUUUUGCCAUCUAAUAUAUUAUCAGAACGUCGCUGCUACAAACUAGUGCGAAUGUUCUACAGGAUAGAUCAGUUUGAUAGAAGAGUAACUAUCGUAGAUGAUGUACCAUUAUCAGUCAUGCUUAUGAUCCCGUCACGUGAAACAACAUAACAAUUUUGUAAUUUUGUUUAUUUUCUUUUAGAUCUACGAUCAAAACUUGCAUGAUACUUAUUUAUCACAGAUUUGUGGCAAACUGAAGAAAAAGAAGGCUAAAUCUAAAGGUUUGAGUUCCUAAGAAAUCAAGAUAACUGCAACUCUCUCUUUUAAAAGUAACUAACUUAGAAUUUAUUAAUAAUUCAUUUUCAAAUAAUGCUCUGCUUUCAGGCUUUCUACAUUUUUCUACGUUAAACAUGACCAAUUCCAGCCACCGUUUCAUGUCACGACGUUAGGAUACAGUUACCCUUGCUCGCGAUACAGAUCAUUUCACUUAACGCAUUUCAACCACUCCUCGAGCAUGCGGCAGCUAG